CCCGGGGUUUGAUCCUGCCGGAGGCUACUGCUAUCGGGGUCCGACUAAGCCAUGCGAGUUGAGAGGGGUAAGCCCUCGGCAUAUUGCUCAGUAACACGCGGAUAACCUGCCCUUGGGUUCGGGAUAACCCCGGGAAACUGGGACUAAUACCGGAUAGACCAAAGAUACUGGAAUGUUCUCUGGUCCAAAACUCCGGUGCCCAAGGAUGGGUCUGCGGCCUAUCAGGUAGUAGUGGGUGUAACGUACCUACUAGCCUACGACGGGUAAGGGUUGUGAGAGCAAGAGCCCUGAGAUGGAUUCUGAGACAUGAAUCCAGGCCCUACGGGGUGCAGCAGGCGCGAAAACUUUACACUGCGGGAAACCGCGAUAAGGGGACCCCGAGUGCCAGUACCUAGUACUGGCUGUCCCGCUGUCCAAACAACAGUGGUUAGCAAGGGCCGGGCAAGACCGGUGCCAGCCGCCGCGGUAACACCGGCGGCCCGAGUGGUAGCCGUUAUUAUUGGGUUUAAAGGGUCCGUAGCCGGCCUAUUAAGUCUCUUGGGAAAUCUGGCGACUUAAUCGUCAGGCGUCCAAGAGAUACUGAUAGGCUUGGGACCGGGAGAGGUGGGAGGUACUCCAGGGGUAGGGGUGAAAUCUCGUAAUCCUUGGGGGACCACCGUUGGCGAAGGCAUCCCACCAGAACGGGUCCGACGGUGAGGGACGAAAGCUGGGGGCACGAACCGGAUUAGAUACCCGGGUAGUCCCAGCUGUAAACGAUGCUCGCUAGGUGUCAGGUGCGGUGCGACCGCAUCUGGUGCCGCAGUGAAAACUUGAAGCGAGUCACCUGGGAAGUACGGUCGCAAGGCUGAAACUUAAAGGAAUUGGCGGGGGAGCACUACAACGGGUGGAGCCUGCGGUUCAAUUGGAUUCAACGCCGGAA
rnacentral:rRNA from 1 species